AUGGGUCUAGAAUAUGUAGGUAUAGAAGGGAUAGGCCGCGACAUGGUUAUAGUGCUGAUCCGGUUCAUAGCUCUAGGCAGAUCUACCAAGCGGUUGGAGGGCAUGAUGGCGAUGGUGAAGCAGACACACAAGUCGGAGCAGCAGCCCCAUUGCUUACUUCUCGACCUCAUCGUUCCAAUCAGGGAAGCCUCCACCAUGGUUGUCCGGAUUGACAACUUUUACCUGGUAGAUUUAUGGAUGACUUGCAAAAAUGGAAAACCUUUGAAACCAUACAUGACCAAAGCUUUUAUCCUUGAUGAUUCUUACGGGAAGAGUUCUGAAAAGAUAUGGGGUGUGUCUUGUAAGGAUGUAAAGCUGACAACUCCGACCCACACUGCUAAAAGAAUCGACGCAUAA
rnacentral:rRNA from 1 species